rnacentral:rRNA from 1 species
AGUUGGUGGAGUGAUUUGUCUGGUUAAUUCCGUUAACGAACGAGAUCUUUACCUGCUAAAUAGAACAUAGUUUCUUCGGAAACUUAGCUUUCUUCUUAGAGGGACUGUGUCAUUUUCAGGGCACGGAGGUUAGAGGCAAUAACAGG